CCCAGACUCCUACGGGAGGCAGCAGUGAGGAAUAUUGGUCAAUGGGCGGGAGCCUGAACCAGCCAAGUCGCGUGAGGGAAGAAGGUACUGAGUAUUGUAAACCUCUUUUGCCAGGGGACAAAGGCGGCCACGGGUGGCCGUAAGAGGGUACCUGGAGAAAAAGCAUCGGCUAACUCCGUGCCAGCAGCCGCGGUAAUACGGAGGAUCCGAGCGUUAUCCGGAUUUAUUGGGUUUAAAGGGAGCGUAGGUGGAUUGUUAAGUCAGUUGUGAAAGUUUGCGGCUCAACCGUAAAAUUGCAGUUGAAACUGGCAGUCUUGAGUACAGUAGAGGUGGGCGGAAUUCGUGGUGUAGCGGUGAAAUGCUUAGAUAUCACGAAGAACUCCGAUUGCGAAGGCAGUUCACUGGACUGCAACUGACACUGAGGCUCGAAAGUGUGGGUAUCAAACAGGAUUAGAUACCCGAGUAAC
rnacentral:rRNA from 1 species